rnacentral:rRNA from 1 species
UACGUAGGGUGCGAGCGUUAAUCGGAAUUACUGGGCGUAAAGCGUGCGCAGGCGGUUUGUAAGACAGAGGUGAAAUCCCCGGGCUCAACCUGGGAACUGCCUUUGUGACUGCAUAGCUAGAGUACGGUAGAGGGGAUGGAAUUCCGCGUGUAGCAGUGAAAUGCGUAGAUAUACGGAGGAACACCGAUGGCGAAGGCAAUCCCCUGGACCUGUACUGACGCUCAUGCACGAAAGCGUGGGGAGCAAACAGG